ACAGGGUGACAGGUGGUGCAUGGUUGUCGUCAGCUCGUGUCGUGAGAUGUUGGGUUAAGUCCCGCAACGAGCGCAACCCUGACUUAGUUGCCAGCAUUCAGUUGGGCACUCUAAAGAGACUGCCGGUGUCAAACCGGAGGAAGGUGGGGAUGACGUCAAGUCCUCAUGGCCUUUAUGACCAGGGCUACACACGUACUACAAUGGCCGGUACAAAGGGCAGCGACACAGCGAUGUGAAGCGAAUCCCGAAAAGCCGGUCUCAGUCCGGAUUGGAGUCUGCAACUCGACUCCAUGAAGUUGGAAUCGCUAGUAAUCGCGGAUCAGCACGCCGCGGUGAAUACGUUCCCGGGCCUU
rnacentral:rRNA from 1 species